ACGCCCUCGGGGCCCGAGGCGGCUGCUGGACUCGACUUCCGGCGGCUGGAGCUGGUGUUCGGCCCCCCGGCCCGCACCCGCGCGAACCCCGUGGCGUCUUCCGGGCCGAGGCGGGGCCGGGCCGCCGGGAGGCGGGGAAGCGGGAAGAUGACUUCCCUCUGGAAGUCUUUCCACUGACUUUGUAUUUCUGUUUCCGAAUCACCGUCUCGUGACGCCUGGUGGCCUUGAGAAGCUGAACCAGAGGCGGGACAUCUCCUCCUGGCUGGCUCGAUGGUUCCCCAGAACCCCAGCCAAGCCUGUGGUGGCCCUGAAAACACCCAUCAAGGUGGAGCUGGUGGCUGGGAAAACCUACAGGUGGUGUGUGUGUGGCCGUAGCAAGAAGCAGCCCUUCUGUGAUGGCUCCCACUUCUUCCAACGCACUGGCCUAUCCCCACUCAAGUUCAAGGCCCAGGAGACCCGCGUGGUGGUGCUCUGUACCUGCAAGGCCACCCAGAAACCCCCGUACUGCGAUGGCACCCACAGGAGUGAGCGGGUGCAGAAGGCAGAAGUGGGCGCCCCACUCUGAGGGGGUGGCUGCUGCCCGGCCCAAGAAGGAUCACCCAGGGACCCCAAUACCCAUAGCUGGUUUGUGAGCAGCUUGCUCCUGUAACCCAAGGUCUCCAAUGUGGGGCAGCUGGGACCAGGCCCCUGCUUCAGUGCCUGCUGGCGAAGAUGGCAUUAAAAAAGCAUUCCAUGCCACA